rnacentral:rRNA from 1 species
GAUGAACGCUGGCGGCGUGCCUAAUACAUGCAAGUCGAGCGAACGGACGAGAAGCUUGCUUCUCUGAUGUUAGCGGCGGACGGGUGAGUAACACGUGGAUAACCUACCUAUAAGACUGGGAUAACUUCGGGAAACCGGAGCUAAUACCGGAUAAUAUUUUGAACCGCAUGGUUCAAAAGUGAAAGACGGUCUUGCUGUCACUUAUAGAUGGAUCCGCGCUGCAUUAGCUAGUUGGUAAGGUAACGGCUUACCAAGGCAACGAUGCAUAGCCGACCUGAGAGGGUGAUCGGCCACACUGGAACUGAGACACGGUCCAGACUCCUACGGGAGGCAGCAGUAGGGAAUCUUCCGCGAUGGGCGAAAGCCUGACGGAGCAACGCCGCGUGAGUGAUGAAGGUCUUCGGAUCGUAAAACUCUGUUAUUAGGGAAGAACAUAUGUGUAAGUAACUGUGCACAUCUCGACGGUACCUAAUCAGAAAGCCACGGCUAACUACGUG